rnacentral:rRNA from 1 species
GAUGAACGCCGGCGGCGUGCCUAAUACAUGCAAGUCGAGCGAACGGACGAGAAGCUUGCUUCUCUGAUGUUAGCGGCGGACGGGUGAGUAACACGUGGAUAACCUACCUAUAAGACUGGGAUAACUUCGGGAAACCGGAGCUAAUACCGGAUAAUAUUUUGAACCGCAUGGUUCAAAAGUGAAAGACGGUCUUGCUGUCACUUAUAGAUGGAUCCGCGCUGCAUUAGCUAGUUGGUAAGGUAACGGCUUACCAAGGCAACGAUGCAUAGCCGACCUGAGAGGGUGACCGGCCACACUGGAACUGAGACACGGUCCAGACUCCUACGGGAGGCAGCAGUAGGGAAUCUUCCGCAAUGGGCGAAAGCCUGACGGAGCAACGCCGCGUGAGUGAUGAAGGUCUUCGGAUCGUAAAACUCUGUUAUUAGGGAAGAACAUAUGUGUAAGUAACUGUGCACAUCUUGACGGUACCUAAUCAGAAAGCCACGGCUAACUACGUG